UACGUAGGGGCAAGCGUUGUCCGGAAUCAUUGGGCGUAAAGCGCGUGUAGGCGGUCCGGUAAGUCCGCUGUGAAAGUCGGGGGCUCAACCCUCGAAUGCCGGUGGAUACUGUCGGGCUAGAGUGCGGAAGAGGCGAGUGGAAUUCCUGGUGUAGCGGUGAAAUGCGCAGAGUAUCGAGGAGGAACACCGGUGGCGAAGGCGGGUCUCUGGGCCGAUGAUCGACGCUGGAGGAGCGAAAGCGUGGGGAGCGAACAGG
rnacentral:rRNA from 1 species